UAUUAUUACAAAUGGUAUCAGAGCGAACUCGGUUAAUAGUCUAUGUGGACUAGGAGACACUACAGCCGGGUUCAUUAAGGCUGACCACAGGGGCGAGUACAUCAACACUUGAAUGGGGGAGUCUGUAAUGACCCGUGCAGGCGUGUGUUUAUUCCUACAUCGGUUAUUUGCCGAGAAGAUCUUAGGUACUUAUAUAGAACAAAAAAAUCCAAAUAAUACCUUCUGGCUAGUUAUUUUGGGUGAGAUGCUGAAUUGUUAUAAUAAGUCAUGUUUGGUAACUCUCGUCAUGCUAAAUUUUCUAAGUUCCGCCUUCUCGUCAUGCUAUUUUUUUUUUUUUUAAAGUAAAUCUGGCAUUUCAUAUGGCUCUUAAACGAACACAGCAGCCCGUCAAGUCAUAAAAAAAGAAAACGAUACAAAUAGUGCUGCUAGCAGUACCUAAAUAGGAAUGUACCUAAAUAGGAACGGAGCAGCUGGCUGAGCAAGGGAGCAGGGGAGAGCCAUACUGCUCAAAAUUUUUUCCUUCCUCUGGCCUCUGAUCUACUCGUGGUGACUCCAGGUAUAAUGCCUCGCUGCCUGCUAUAUAAGGAUGAGCGCGGGGUUUAAAGCCUAAACACUCGUCCCUUAAGCUAAUGCAGAGUUAUCAGUUCGUUCAAACAUGUUAACGUCAUUUAAAACAUUACCACAAUAUAAAUUCAAAAAAACAAAAAGUUUUACAAGAUUUAAUAAAUCACAAAGACCAUGUGUUUGGCAAAAAUAAAGAGUAACUUUAAUCUUUGUUAUAUAUAUCUUAGAUCCUAUUUUGACAAGACAAGCAUCCGUGCAAUAAUAUUGAGAAUUAAAAGAAUAUGGUGUACAUAUACAUGAUUUGACAAGACAAGCAUCCGGUGCAUGUAUGUAGCUAAAUUAAAUCGCUCGCACACACAUAUCCGAAUGCUUAUGCAUGUUUGUUUUUCUCUUAUUUUUUUUUUCGAAGAGAUGAAGAUAGUGGCAAGAAUAUCCCUUCACCUGUCAAGAUCGAACCUAAAUUCUCUCCCUGUCUACGCCAUGAGAAGAGUCGCAAUUUUUAUCUGCAUUCACUAACCCAUCAAAACUCAUCCAAAAUAAUGGAUUUUGGUUUGAUUUUUUUUAAAAUAGAUAAUAUAAGUUAGUCAAGAUCAAUUAGAAUAUAAAUCAAAUGUUAUGAAUUAGUUAAGACCAAUUCUAUUAGAAAUGGAUCGGGUGUAGAUUUAGCCUGUCUCCCUGAAGGGUCAAUGCAAGUAUAAUAUAAAUCUUUAAAAUCUAUCUUUUAAUUGCUAAGAUCAAGAGUGGGUACAAAUACUAGAAAUGCAUAUUUAGAGAUAUUUUUAGUGAUCAAGCAUUUAGAAAGCAAGUGCAGAAUGAAAAUUUGAGAAAAAAUUUUAAUUGGAUGGGUUAUUCUAGAUAAAACAUUUUGGUUAAGUCAGAUUCAUCAUUAAAUUUUUUUAAAAAAGUGAUAGCUACAUCAUAUACCAUGCUCUAUAAAGAUUGUUGAUUUGACUAGAAAAGUUGCAUAACUAACAGUUAAGCAAAUAAAUAAGAUAUAAUAAAAAGAAAGAGGAGAGUGUAGCAUGUUUUGGAAUUAUCACUUUUUCCACUUAAAUUUUGUCCCACACUUUCUUACUUUGUUUGGAUCGGCCAUUCUAAAUACCUUAUUUUAAGAUUAUUUUGCUUUUAUUUAUUUUUAUAAAUAUAGAUAAGUAACAUGCUAUUUGAGGUUGAUAGGUAGGUAUAGGCUUUUAUGAAAUAAAUAGGUUGCGUAUGGAUUUGUUCUUUUGGAAUUAAUUAUGAUUGGUUGGUUAUGGGUUGAGGUUCUUAACUCAACCCCGAAUUGAUUUGAUCCAAACCUGACCUAAGCUAGCUCAUGGCCAGCCAUAAUUAUAGGGAUAGUGUUGUCAAUUAAUGUAUCCAAAUAUGGUCAGCAAACAAUUAUUGUUUUCAUCCAAUGGCUUAGAUCUUAAUUAGUUGACAACCAUUAAAGCAUAUGACUUAUCAUCCUAACCUCUCAAGUUCCUUUAGUUCUUGUUGAUAUAGCUUCUGCGACUUUUAAAAGUCUAACUUUGGGAGUUUUAAAUAUUUUCUUGUACUCUCAUUUUCUGGCCAUAAUUGUCUUAUGAUGCUUGUUGUCUCUAAUCUAGGCAGGACGCAUUGACGGAAAAAUUCCAAUACAAAAUUUACCUACACAAAUCAGAAUUAAAGCAAUUUACGUAAAGCUAAAAGACUUGAAAUGCCUACAUUUCAUGUUAGAAUGUGACCUGAAAAUAAGUGUCACGGACAGCUUGCUAGUAUUUGUCAUGUGUAUGUGUAUUGUGACUACUGGGACUGGGCCGCCAGAUGGGCCGACCUGGACCAAGGUCGGCAGCCCAUCUGGAGGCCACCACCUCCUAUGGUCCUACUUCGGAGAGGUACAGCUGCCGGCGGAAGGGAGAGACAGCUGCUGACCGCUAAAGUGGUUAUCACCGCUUAAGAAGCCCUAUUUUCUAGCCCUCUUAUCGUGCCCCUCCUUCUUCCUCAGAGAGGAAUUCCUGAACCAGCAACCACUGAGGCGCCGGAGCAGGGAUCGUUGCAGUUCACCCCCGAAAUAGACGGUGCGAGAGGGAAACAGACAGAUAGAUGACCAGUGUGCAGACCGUUGAAUUCAUUGCUUCGCUGCUAGCUCAAUCAGCCUUCAUUCAAGUGGGUUAAACAUAAAAUCUUGGGAGAGUUUCAUGAGUUCUUCGUCAGGAUUGGUAUAGCCAUCCACCCUUCUGUAAAGAAGACGGGCACCUCGAGCAUUACCCAGGACUGCACGGCUACAGAACUCCGGCGCUACUGCUCUUGAUCGAUAGAGCUCCCACUCCAGUUCCUGACAGGCCAACUCAAUCACACUGGUGAGACCUACCAUGGCUUCCACCUGCGUGCAGCCUGGGUGGUCCCUCAUGUAGCAGCCAACCCCUGUGGCCAGCUUUCCCUCCUCGAGCUCCCUCGAAGAGGAGGCAAGAUCAUUGGAAAGUCGGCAUACGACGGAAACGAGGUGCAUGAAGCGUGAGUCAGGACCAAUGUGGCGGAGCAUCUCAUCUGUGAUCUUCUCUCCCAGAAAGAAUGCAGAUGUCCCUGUUACCAUUUUCGUUCCAAUAGUGUCCUUGGCGCAUUGCAUGUAUUCUUCGUAGGUCGGAAUGCGUUCGCCGUGCAACCAUUCUGCUUCCUUUAGAAAGGAAGCUACAAAAUCUGCCCACUGAAAUGAACGCAUGCAUACGAUAUAUAAGCCUAUUGUUGUGCUUGUGAGAGAGCCUAUAUGGUUCAGGACUUCAAUUAGUUCAAAGAUAUGACAUGAGAAAUAUUCCAAUUAAAUAUGUUUUUAAAAAA